rnacentral:tRNA from 1 species
GCCCAGGUGGCGGAAUUGGUAGACGCGCCUGACUCAAAAUCAGGUUUCUUCGGAAGUGAGGGUUCGAGUCCCUCCCUGGGCACCA